ensembl:lncRNA
AUGUGAUAUUCAGUCAGUGGUGAUGGAGGGAGGAGCUGGUAAAGCUGUUCAUUACUGACAAAGAGCUGAAUAAAGAGAAAGUAACUAAAGCAGACAGGUGUAGAGACAGAGAGAUUCACACAGAGAUUAUUCAGCAAAAAGAAGACUGAACUCAAGUCACAAUGAAGAUCUUCCUCAUUUUCUUCACUUUCUACCUGAUGUCAGGUGCAGCGAAAGCCAUUGAUGUGUCUGGAUAUUCUGGAGGAAGUGUUCUUGUCGAUUCUGGGAAACUCUGGUUCAGUGACUCUGCUAAAUAUAUGCAUAAGUUACAUGAGUGGGGAACAAUAACGUAUAAUACGAAGCAUGAAAAAUGGAUUAACGAAGGACGAUUCACAUUGUUUAAAAACAAUGAGGGAAACCUCAUGAUCUACAUCAGAGAUUUGAACAAACGUGAUGCAGGAAGAUACCAGAUUAGGGUUGAAGGCAAAUGGUCCAUCGAUAUGACUUUGAAAGUGGAAGAAGAAAUAUGUUGUAAAAUGUCGAAGAGAGUGAUGGUGAAUAUUGGAGAAACUGCUACCUUCAGCUGUGAAUAUUCGUACAGUCAUAUUAAUGACUUCAAAAUCAUAUUCAAAGAAGGAAGAGACUCCAUUGACACGAUCUGCAGCAGAUGGAAUAAAACAGAAAGAUUCAGUAUUUCUGAUGACAAACAUAAAAAUCUCUUCAGUGUGAGAAUCACUGCUGUGACACCAGAUGAUGGAGGAGUUUAUUUAGGUGGAGUUUGGAUCGACAGACACUCGUACAGUUACUACAUUAUUACUACUGUUGACCUGCACAUUAUGAGUGAGUAACACAAAGUAUCAAUGUCUUCUAGAAAAUACAUGUAGCCAGUGUUUGCUUCUUCAGUAUCUGCUAUAUGUCACAUUCGAUUAAUUUGAUUCAAUAAGAUAUUUUCUGAUUGACAGCUAAAGUGGGUGUGUCUAGAGUGAGCGGCUACUCAGGAGGUGGUCUGAUGAUCAAGUGUGAACAUCCUCAAUACAAAACCAAACCAAAAUACAUCUGUAAAGAAUCAGACGGAUGUUCAGAGAGGAAGAAUCCAGGAUUUUGGGGGUCAUUCCACAAAAUCGGUGCCUUUUCCACUUGGAAAAAUUGAAAAAUAACAUAAGUUUUUAAAUAUCCAUGAAAUUAAGACACCUUAAAAUGACAAGAAUUUGUAUUGUGCCAUCUCAGGCUAUAUCAUUUAUUAUUUUAUGACUAUUUUUCUAUCUCAUGUUUUGGUAUUUUUGUCAAAUCUGUUACCGACACAAGCGUUACUAGAUACUGUAGUUUAAUUAGAACUCAUAUGCCACUGAAUGAUAUUAUAGGCAUUAGCUCAAUAAUAUACUGAGGGUGACAUUUAAAAUGUUUGAAUUUUACACAGACAAUCUUUAAACACAGGGUCAAACCUAAUCAAUGUCAUCCCUGUUACCCACAUGUCAAAACCUGUACUCUAAAAAGUAACAGGUCGACAGUAACAGGUUUGAUGAUUUCAAACUAAUUUGCUAAUUGCUGGCUAAUAGUCAAGUUCAAAAAAGCACAAAUUGUACACUUUGAAAUAAUUUUACUUGUAGAUAUUGAUUAUAUUAAAUGUAAGAAAUAAUUGUUUAAAUUUGCAUUUUAAAAAUGAUAACAGGAUUGACACUGCAUGAUGUCCCCGCUCAGUCAAGCCUCAUAAAUCAUCAAAAAGAACUUGCUUGUGUUUAAGGUUGGAAUUCUGGUUGAGAGAUGAUGCAACCUCCUAGAAAGGAUGUCACUUGAAUAUAUUAUUUUGUAAAACAAGGUUUUUUUGGGGGGGCUGACAUGAAAUCAGGGUAAACCAAUAAAAUAAUUAAUAUUUUAUAGAAAAAACGCA